rnacentral:rRNA from 1 species
UACGUAGGGUGCAAGCGUUAAUCGGAAUUACUGGGCGUAAAGCGUGCGCAGGCGGCUUUGCAAGACAGAUGUGAAAUCCCCGGGCUCAACCUGGGAACUGCAUUUGUGACUGCAUGGCUUGAGUGCGGCAGAGGGGGAUGGAAUUCCGCGUGUAGCAGUGAAAUGCGUAGAGAUGUGGAGGAACACCGAUGGCGGAAGGCAGCCCCUGGGUCGACACUGACGCUCAUGCACGAAAGCGUGGGGAGCAAACAGG